AAAUGAUAAAGGGGAUAGGGCAGAAAGCUGGGUGAGGAGUCUAUGCCCUGGGUGGGAUGGAGAGGUUCCAGGCUGGAGCUCAGCACAGCAGGUCACAUAUCAGCUAGGAGGUCCUCCUAGCAGUGACGCAGAUACACUGGAGAGACAUGUGGUCACCGUCGUCAGCAGUGUCGCCCAUAAAGACGUAGGCAAGCUGGGGGGUCAUGCUGGUAUGGUCGCUGGCAGCACGGUCGUCGGAGGCAGGAGGAGGGCCAUGCUGCACAGCUGAGAGGUGACAAUGAUCAGGGUGGUGAGGUCAACCAUUAGAAAUGUCUCUUCUUCAAACACGUGUGUGACACUAGCAAGUAAAAGGGCAAAUUUGUUGCCUGAGGGUGGAAUUCAGGAGGGUCUCUUCUGCAGGUGGGUGUGUGAUCAUGAACAGGGACAUGAAGAAAUGGGCAAGACACUGGUUCAUGUUGGCCUGUACCUUGCCCGUACAUCUUGGAGUAACAGGACAAUAAUGGAGAGUGGCUGUGAGGCCUUGGGUGUGUCCAAGUAUAAAACAAGUCUUAGGAAGCCCGUGAGGAGCGGCAACGGGAACAGGAAACGCGAUCUGCUUGGGAGAAACGUGACCCCUCGGUGAAUUGGUGGUUCUCUCAAGCCUCCGGAUGGCAUGCCACCCUGUUGGCCAAAGCAAGUAUCGUCUUCCUUUUGAUGGUAUGCUGCUGCCGUAGGCCCCAAGAGUUGUGGACAUCUGACACCAAGGCCUCCACCUAUUCGGAUAUGCGGCAAGCAAGAUU